rnacentral:rRNA from 1 species
ACGACGCUGGCGGCGUGCCUAAUACAUGCAAGUCGAACGGUCUUUUCUAUGGAAGCUUGCUUCCACUGAGAAGAUAGUGGCGAACGGGUGAGUAACACGUGGGUAACCUGCCCAUAAGAGGGGGAUAACAUCCGGAAACGGGUGCUAAUACCGCAUAGUUUUCUUGAUCGCAUGAUCGGGAAAGGAAAGACGGCCUUUGUGCUGUCGCUUAUGGAUGGACCCGCGGCGUAUUAGUUAGUUGGUGAGGUAACGGCUCACCAAGACGAUGAUACGUAGCCGACCUGAGAGGGUGAUCGGCCACAUUGGGACUGAGACACGGCCCAAACUCCUACGGGAGGCAGCAGUAGGGAAUCUUCCGCAAUGGACGAAAGUCUGACGGAGCAACGCCGCGUGAGUGAAGAAGGCCCUCGGGUUGUAAAGCUCUUUUGUCCGGAAAGAAAAGCGCCGGGUUAAUACCCUGGUGUCCUGACGGUACCGGAAGAAUAAGCACCGGCUAACUUCGUG